CUAUCAGCCUUGGAGUCCUGCGGUGAGCAUGCGUGCAAAGGCGGAAGCCUCCGGGCCGCGGGGAAGACGGUUCGGGGGGUGAGCGGGAGAGCGGAUUGAUGGUGGCAGGAUGUUGGGAACAUGCGGCAUGCAGCGAUACCAUCAGGAGGCUCUAAAGAAGAACCGGGUGAUGCUGGCCAGAGAGCUGGUUUUAAAGGAGUUGAUGGAGUAUAUGAUAGAGAAGGACAUCAUCACCAUUGAGAUGGUGGAAAUGAUACAGGCCAAGCCUGGAAGCUUCAGCCAAAAUGUGGAAUUCCUUAAUUUGUUGCCCAAGAGAGGCCCUAAUGCCUUUUCAGCCUUUUGUGAAGCUCUACAAGAAACCAAACAGCAGCAUCUGGCAGAAAUGAUCUUGAAGACAGAAUCCAGCUUGAGACAUGGGAUUGCAAGGCUUGAACAGCGUUAUGGAUCAAAUCUUCCAUUUCCUGUGAGUGAAUCGUGUAAUUCAAAGAGACCGCGCUUGAUUGUGGAACAUUCUUUGGACAGUGGAGAUGGACCUCCGAUUCCUCCAGUGAAGCACUGUACUCCAGAAUUCUAUCGUGAUCACCAGCACUUAGCAUACAAGCUGACAUCAGAGCCCCGAGGCUUAGCACUUAUUCUCAGCAAUAUCCAUUUCAACAGUGAAAAGGACUUGGAGUAUCGUUCAGGUGGAGAUGUGGACUGUGCUUCCCUAGAACUGCUUUUCAAGCAUCUUGGAUAUCGAGUGACUGUCUUUCAUGAUCAAAGUGCAGAGGAAAUGGAGAGUGCAUUGAAGAGAUUCUCUAAGCUGCCAGAUCAUCAGGAUGUAGAUUCCUGUAUUGUAGCUUUACUUUCCCACGGUGUAGAGGGUGGGGUUUACGGCACUGAUGGCAAACUCCUACAGUUGCAGGAAGCUUUCAGGCUCUUUGACAAUGCAAACUGCCCCAAUCUCCAGAAUAAGCCCAAAAUGUUCUUUAUUCAGGCCUGCCGGGGAGGUGUAAGUGGGAUCCAUAUUCACCUCCCUCUGCCCUGCUGCUGCCACUGCAUCUGUUGCUCUAUGAGACAGACCGCGGAGUGGAUCAAAGAGAUGGCAAAGAACGGUCAGAUUCCCCAGGCUGUGAGGAAAGUGAUGCAAACAAGGAAGAAAAUCUCAAGCUGCGUUUGCCUACACGCUCCGAUAUGAUCUGUGGAUAUGCGUGUUUGAAAGGCACUGCAGCCAUGCGCAACACUAAGCGUGGAUCCUGGUAUAUCGAAGCACUCACCACUGUGUUUGCAGAGGACUCCCGAGAUACUCACGUGGCUGACAUGUUGGUGAAGGUGAACAGGCAAAUCAAGCAACGAGAAGGUUAUGCCCCAGGCACAGAAUUCCAUCGCUGCAAGGAGAUGUCAGAAUAUUGUAGUACACUCUGUCGGGACCUUUACCUGUUUCCUGGCUACGUGCCGGGAAAAUAACCCUACCAGCUCCAUUGGAAGAGAGAUACUGCCAAAGCUGAACUGAGUAUGGAGGUGUACAUUUCUGUUCUCACAGGUGUGACAUCAGAUGCCAAGCAAGGAAUGCUCUUUCAUGUUUAGCCAGUCCAGUUCUUGAUGUCUUUUACUAAAAUACGGUGGCAGCUCUUUGUAAUCUAAUUCAGUUCAGGGUUUAAAAUACUAAUAUCCUCAUUUAUUCCAUAUGUAUGGAUGUUGUUGAAAAGAGAUCAGCACUGGAAAAAAGUGCAAAUAUCUUUUGGGAAGAGGCAUAAGGACGUUUCUUAGAAAAGUGAAAAGAGAAAUAAGCUAUCCAUACAAAUUUUGGAAGAGAUAAGCCUUUCUGAGAGGAAUAUGAUUCAUAAAAUGCUCCUUAUUUUAUACUUUUAUUUUUUAAGCACUUCCUGCUCAGUUUUUCUUGCAUAACAGACAGAUCCUUUGUACAGUGAAGGAGAAUCCUACUCUCUAAAAUGGGAUAUUGUUUUAAGUAGUUGACAUUUACUGUCCACCUUGAUCACUUAAAGUCCAUUUUUGCACUUCUUUUUUUUUUAUAGCUAAGUUAUCAAGAGAACUGCAAGACAUCCCAGGUUAUUUGAAAAACAAAUGGAAACUCAUUGUUUUUCACAUAGAUCGGUGCUCCUGAAACAGUUUUGAAUCAGGAAAUUCUAGAUUGGCCCCCCUUAGUCUAGGCUUGAACAACUGUAUAUAAUAUUACUUCUGGUAUUUUGUUUGCUGUAGUAUCUGUGCAUCACAACAGGCAUGGUAUUCAGACACUUCACCAGCUCUUCAAGAGUCUAUAAACUGGACUCUACAACUGAAUCCCUGAAAUCCUGCAACCCUGUAGAGAGGGCUUCUGUAUCUUCUGUUUAAUGGAAGUAUUUAAGGCAGUUCUUUAUAGUCUAAACAUGCUGCUUGGAUUAUUUUUCACUGGCAGUCUGUUUCUCUUUCAUUCAAAAGGGAAGAAUUUCACAUUAUUACUCUGAUAUGUGGUGAGUUUUUUUUCUUCAGCCAUGAUCAUUUAAAGCUGUCUGUUUAGCAAAUAUUGUUUGCCAGAUGUCAUUUUGACUGGUUGUUCAGUAAUGUGGCAUAAUCCAUCACUUUGUUUGGAAAUUUCACAUGCGUUCUCUUCAUACUUGCCUACAAGUUGCAGUUACUCCCAUGUGAUGUGGUGCAGGGAGAUGGGCAUUAUUCUCUUCUAUGGUAGCCUAAGUUCUGAUAUACUAGGUCUGUAUACUGGAAUUCUCGUCCUCUUCAUUCUAAAGCAAUAAGGUGGCAUAGUACUCUUAAUGUGUAAGUUCGUUUGUUUGUUCUUUAUCUUUCUUCCAGGAUAGAAUUAUGAAUAGGAAGCACAAAGGGAUGUGGAGGGAGGCUGGAAAAUUAGGUAUGUGCUUUUCUGUUGUUCCAAACAGGAACAUUAAAGCUAUGUUUUCUCCAGCUGACAAAGAUGCAGCAUUAAAAUACAUCUUGCACUUAUCUAACACACAGUAUGUGAUAAAUAAAACAAAACAACAAAAAAAAAAUCCUGCCAAUUGUUGCCUUACUCUGAAGAAACCACUGCAGGGGUUGUUGUACCUCCCUGGAGUACAAACACUUCCUUCCCUAGUGCUCCAUCUUUGAAAUGGUGCAAUAUUUUACAGUUGUGUAGAUUGAUGAAGUAGUCUGCUCUGAAAGCCUAGAUUUCAGUAGGAUUGCAUCAACUUGCGUUUUCACUGCCACUUUGGUAUUUACUUUUUAUAUACUUGUAUUUUACUGCCUGGAGGUGUUAAAAUAAAGAAUUCUUGUUUGCUUAA